UGAGACUAUGGUUAAGGGAUUACAGGA
rnacentral:piRNA from 1 species